rnacentral:rRNA from 1 species
ACAUGCCUACAAAACAGCAUUAAUGCACUAUAUCCCAUUAGAACUCCACAGUUAAGCACGCUCAGGAUAGAGUAGUACUGGGAUGGAUGACCGCCCGAGAAGUCCUGGUGUUUUACAUGCC